AUUGAACGCUGGCGGCAUGCCUUACACAUGCAAGUCGAACGGCAGCACGGGAGCAAUCCUGGUGGCGAGUGGCGAACGGGUGAGUAAAGUAUCGGAACGUGCCCAGUCGUGGGGGAUAACGUAGCGAAAGUUACGCUAAUACCGCAUACGAUCUAUGGAUGAAAGCGGGGGAUCGCAAGACCUCGCGCGAUUGGAGCGGCCGAUAUCAGAUUAGGUAGUUGGUGGGGUAAAGGCUCACCAAGCCGACGAUCUGUAGCUGGUCUGAGAGGACGACCAGCCACACUGGGACUGAGACACGGCCCAGACUCCUACGGGAGGCAGCAGUGGGGAAUUUUGGACAAUGGGCGAAAGCCUGAUCCAGCCAUGCCGCGUGCAGGAUGAAGGCCUUCGGGUUGUAAACUGCUUUUGUACGGAACGAAAAGGUUUGGCCUAAUACAGGGAGCUCAUGACGGUACCGUAAGAAUAAGCACCGGCUAACUACGUGCCAGCAGCCGCCGUAACAC
rnacentral:rRNA from 1 species